rnacentral:rRNA from 1 species
UGGUGCAUGGCUGUCGUCAGCUCGUGUCGUGAGAUGUUGGGUUAAGUCCCGCAACGAGCGCAACCCUUAUCUUUAGUUACUUAUAUCUCUAAAGAGACUGCCGGUGAUAAACCGGAGGAAGGUGAGGAUGACGUCAAGUCAGCAUGCCCCUUACGCCCUGGGCGACACACGUAAUACAAUGGUCGAGACAAUGAGUUGCGAUCUCGCGAGAGUCAGCUAACCUCAAAAACUCGAUCUCAGUUCAGAUUGCAGGCUGAAACUCGCCUGCAUGAAGGUGGAAUCGCUAGUAAUCGCAGGUCAGCCAUACUGCGGUGAAUCCGUUCCCGGGCCUUGUACCACACCGCCC